rnacentral:misc_RNA from 1 species
GAACCGCGAAAUGUAAUGUGAAUUGCAUAGUUCGUGAAUCAUCAAAUCUUUGAACGCAUAUUGCACUGUCUGGAAUUCCAGGCAGUAGGUCUGUUUGAGUAUCUGUAUACCAUCAGAGUGCCUUUAUGUUAUCAGCAACUCACAAGGAAGUUGGUGGCGUGCAGGCCCUUUGGACAUGGGCUAUCAGGUGGCAACACCCGUAGUCUUAAAUAUAUAGUGUCUUUGCUUCGGCUUGGAUCCUGCUUAUUCCCUUUUGGGCUAGGCAAACCUGCAUUCACUAUUGAAGAACACCCUUCCUCAAUAGACUAAAGAAUGUGGGUAAGAGUGCCGAUAACCUCGGUUUGAAGCCUCACUCAUGAUCUCAAAUCAGACCAGACUACCCGCUGAACUUAA